rnacentral:misc_RNA from 1 species
UUGAAUGAAAUUGAGUGGGGUUGUAGCUGGCCUUUCAACGGGCAUGUGCACACCUCAUUCGACCACCUUCACACCUCUGUGCACUUCUCAUGAGUUUGGUCGCGCCUGAAAUAGUGGCAUGGCCUGCUUGUGUGUUUUUAUACAAACGAAUAAAGUUAUAGAAUGUCACUAUCAUGCUUGAAAGCAUAUAAUA